CUUUAACUGCAUAUAUCUCAUACACAUAAUUGGUAAAACGCAGGAAUGUUGAUUCCUGUUUGAUUUUUGUUGAGGCAAUUUUUUUUAAUAAAAACAAAUUCACUGAAACAACAGGUAUACCUUGCUUAUUGCAUAACUUGCAUUACCAUAGAUAAAUAAAAAGUAGAAUUACCACUACAGAAAGAAGUAAGCCAACGAAUAAGUGUGGGUUCAAUCCAGAAUCAGCCCAAAGUUUGACAUAAUAGGACUUUAUGGAAGAGUAGUAGUUUUUUGUGUCAGUAUUUUGGUUCAAAGUUAAUAUUGGUUGUGCAUUUAAAAAUACACUGCUCUGACCACUUGGAUAGAGCAUUGACCUCUUGGUAGAGGUCACAGUGACAUUGACCCCUUGUGUAGAGGUCAUUUAGGCGUUGAAGCCCACAUGUGUUUCUGCUUUCCUAAGUUAAUGUAGAAUUCUUAAUCCAGUUGAACGAAAAAAAAAUUCAGAGAAGUACUAGAAUUUAUCCAGUUAUUCCUAUUAACUGCUAUUUCUUGUUGAUAUAUUACAACUAUGUUUUUUUUCUCAAUCAGAAAGUGGUUGAUAUUUAUUGAUGUGACUUAAGAAAGUCAUAGAAAACAGAUACCAAUGCAUUAAAUGACGAUGUCAAUAAACAAUUGUCUUAUU
rnacentral:misc_RNA from 1 species